GGGGAGUACGGUCGCAAGACUGAAACUUAAAGGAAUUGACGGACUCCUACGGGAGGCAGCAGUGGGGAAUAUUGGACAAUGGGGGCAACCCUGAUCCAGCAACGCCGCGUGGGUGACGAAGGCCUUCGGGUUGUAAAGCCCUUUUCUGAGGGAAGAUAGUGACGGUACCUCAGGAAGAAGCACCGGCUAACUACGUGCCAGCAGCCGCGGUAAUACGUAGGGUGCGAGCGUUGCCCGGAUUUAUUGGGCGUAAAGGGCGUGUAGGCGGCCAACUAAGUCCGACGUGAAAUCCCCAGGCUCAACCUGGGAACUGCGUCGGAUACUGGAUGGCUUGAAUCCGGGAGAGGGAUGCAGAAUUCCAGGUGUAGCGGUGAAAUGCGUAGAGAUCAGGAGGAAUACCGAUGGCGAAGGCAGGUCCCUGGGCUGAAACUGACGCUCAUGCACGAAAGCGUGGGGAGCAAACAGGAUUAGAUACCCCGGUAGUCCUGGCCCUAAACGAUGAAUGCUUGGUGUGGCGGGUAUCGAUCCCUGCCGUGCCGAAGCUAACGCAUUAAGCAUUCCGCCUGGGGAGUACGGUCGCAAGGCUGAAACUUAAAGGAAUUGACG
rnacentral:rRNA from 1 species